GAUGAAGAACGCAGCGAAAUGCGAUAAGUAAUGCGAAUUGCAGAAUUCAGUGAAUCAUCGAAUCUUUGAACGCACAUUGCGGCCAUAGGUAUUCCUUUGGCCAUGCCUGUUCGAGCGUCAUUUACACCCUCAAGCCUAGCUUGGUGUUGGGCGUCUGUCCCGCCGUUUUCGCGCGCGGACUCGCCUCAAAGUCAUUGGCGGCGGUCGUGCCGGCCCCCUCGCGCAGCACAUUUGCGCUUCUCGGAGGCCCGGCGGAUCCGCGCUCCAGCAAGACCUUUCACGACUUGACCUCGGAUCAGGUAGGGAUACCCGCUGAACUUAAGCAUAUCAAUAAGCGGAGGA
rnacentral:misc_RNA from 1 species